UACGAAGGGGGCUAGCGUUGCUCGGAAUCACUGGGCGUAAAGCGCACGUAGGCGGAUUGUUAAGUCAGGGGUGAAAUCCUGGAGCUCAACUCCAGAACUGCCUUUGAUACUGGCGAUCUCGAGUCCGGGAGAGGUGAGUGGAACUGCGAGUGUAGAGGUGAAAAUUCGUAGAUAUUCGCAAGAACACCAGUGGCGAAGGCGGUGCUCUGGGCCGGAACUGACGCUGAGACGCGAAAGCGUGGGGAGCGAACAGG
rnacentral:rRNA from 1 species